GACGAACGCUGGCGGCGUGCCUAAUACAUGCAAGUCGAACGCUGAAGGAGGAGCUUGCUUCUCUGGAUGAGUUGCGAACGGGUGAGUAACGCGUAGGUAACCUGCCUGGUAGCGGGGGAUAACUAUUGGAAACGAUAGCUAAUACCGCAUAAUAGUAGAUGUUGCAUGACAUUUGCCUAAAAGGUGCAAUUGCAUCACUACCAGAUGGACCUGCGUUGUAUUAGCUAGUUGGUGGGGUAACGGCUCACCAAGGCGACGAUACAUAGCCGACCUGAGAGGGGGAUCGGCCACACUGGGACGGAGACACGGCCCAGACUCCUACGGGAGGCAGCAGUAGGGAAUCUUCGGCAAUGGACGGAAGUCUGACCGAGCAACGCCGCGUGAGUGAAGAAGGGUUUCGGAUCGUAAAGCUCUGUUGUAAGAGAAGAACGAGUGUGAGAGUGGAAAGUUCACACUGUGACGGUAUCUUACCAGAAAGGGACGGCUAACUACGUG
rnacentral:rRNA from 1 species